UACGUAGGGGGCUAGCGUUGUCCGGAAUCAUUGGGCGUAAAGCGCGCGUAGGCGGUCAGGUAAGUCCGGUGUGAAAGUCAAAGGCUCAACCUUUGAAUGCCGCUGGAUACUGCCUGACUUGAGUCCGGAAGGGGCGAGUGGAAUUCCUGGUGUAGCGGUGAAAUGUGUUGAUAUCGGAAGGAACGCCGGUGGCGAAAGCGACACACUGGAUCUUGUCUGACGCUGAGGCACGAAAGCCAGGGGAGCGAACGGG
rnacentral:rRNA from 1 species